GGACUACCGGGGUAUCUAAUCCUGUUUGCUCCCCACGCUUUCGCGUCUCAGCGUCAGUAUCCGUCCAGAAGGCCGCCUUCGCCACCGGUGUUCCUCCUGAUAUCUACGCAUUUCACCGCUACACCAGGAAUUCCACCUUCCUCUCCGGUACUCUAGCCUCCCAGUUUCCAAUGCACUUCCGGGGGUAAGCCCCGGGCUUUCACAUCAGACUUAAGAGGCCGCCUACACGCGCUUUACGCCCAGUGAUUCCGAACAACGCUUGCACCCUCCGUAUUACCGCGGCUGCUGGCAC
rnacentral:rRNA from 1 species